CAGGCUUAACACAUGCAAGUCGAGGGGCAGCAUGGUCUUAGCUUGCUAAGGCCGAUGGCGACCGGCGCACGGGUGAGUAACACGUAUCCAACCUGCCGUCUACUCUUGGACAGCCUUCUGAAAGGAAGAUUAAUACAAGAUGGCAUCAUGAGUCCGCAUGUUCACAUGAUUAAAGGUAUUCCGGUAGACGAUGGGGAUGCGUUCCAUUAGAUAGUAGGCGGGGUAACGGCCCACCUAGUCUUCGAUGGAUAGGGGUUCUGAGAGGAAGGUCCCCCACAUUGGAACUGAGACACGGUCCAAACUCCUACGGGAGGCAGCAGUGAGGAAUAUUGGUCAAUGGGCGAGAGCCUGAACCAGCCAAGUAGCGUGAAGGAUGACUGCCCUAUGGGUUGUAAACUUCUUUUAUAAAGGAAUAAAGUCGGGUAUGGAUACCCGUUUGCAUGUACUUUAUGAAUAAGGAUCGGCUAACUCCGUGCCAGCAGCCGCGGUAAUACGGAGGAUCCGAGCGUUAUCCGGAUUUAUUGGGUUUAAAGGGAGCGCAGAUGGAUGUUUAAGUCAGUUGUGAAAGUUUGCGGCUCAACCGUAAAAUUGCAGUUGAUACUGGAUAUCUUGAGUGCAGUUGAGGCAGGCGGAAUUCGUGGUGUAGCGGUGAAAUGCUUAGAUAUCACGAAGAACUCCGAUUGCGAAGGCAGCCUGCUAAGCUGCAACUGACAUUGAGGCUCGAAAGUGUGGGUAUCAAACAGGAUUAGAUACCCUGGUAGUCCACACGGUAAACGAUGAAUACUCGCUGUUUGCGAUAUACUGCAAGCGGCCAAGCGAAAGCGUUAAGUAUUCCACCUGGGGAGUACGCCGGCAACGGUGAAACUCAAAGGAAUUGACGGGGGCCCGCACAAGCGGAGGAACAUGUGGUUUAAUUCGAUGAUACGCGAGGAACCUUACCCGGGCUUAAAUUGCAGAUGAAUUACGGUGAAAGCCGUAAGCCGCAAGGCAUCUGUGAAGGUGCUGCAUGGUUGUCGUCAGCUCGUGCCGUGAGGUGUCGGCUUAAGUGCCAUAACGAGCGCAACCCUUGUUGUCAGUUACUAACAGGUUCCGCUGAGGACUCUGACAAGACUGCCAUCGUAAGAUGUGAGGAAGGUGGGGAUGACGUCAAAUCAGCACGGCCCUUACGUCCGGGGCUACACACGUGUUACAAUGGGGGGUACAGAGGGCCGCUACCACGCGAGUGGAUGCCAAUCCCCAAAACCUCUCUCAGUUCGGACUGGAGUCUGCAACCCGACUCCACGAAGCUGGAUUCGCUAGUAAUCGCGCAUCAGCCACGGCGCGGUGAAUACGUUCCCGGGCCUUGUACACACCGCCCGUCAAGCCAUGGGAGCCGGGGGUACCUGAAGUGCGUAACCGCGAGGAGCGCCCUAGGGUAAAACUGGUGACUGGGGCUAAG
rnacentral:rRNA from 1 species